AACUUUCAACAAUGGAUCACUUGGCUCUCGCAUCGAUGAAGAACUCAGCGAAAUGCGAUAAGUAAUGUGAAUUGCAGAAUUCAGUGAAUCAUCGAAUCUUUGAACGCACCUUGCGCCCCUUGGUUAUUCCUUGGGGCAUGCCUGUUUGAGUAUCAUGAACACCUCAACUCUCACGGUCUUCCGUGACGAGCUUGGACUUUGGGGGUUUGCUGGCCCUGCGGCCGGCUCCUCUCAAACAAAUCAGCUUGCCAGUGUUUGGCGGCAUCUCACGGGUGUGAUAACUAUCUACGCUCGCGGUUGUCUGCCAGGUAACCCUCAGCAAUGAAGGUUCAUUGGGGCUCAUAAACGUCUCUCCUCGGCGAGGACAGCUUUUGAACGUUCGAUCUCAAAUCAGGUAGGACUACCCGCUGAACUUAAGCAUAUCAAUAAGCGGAGGCU
rnacentral:misc_RNA from 1 species